rnacentral:tRNA from 1 species
GCCCAAGUGGCGGAAUGGUAGACGCAGGGGAUUCAAAAUCCCCCGACUUAACGGUCGUGCCGGUUCGAGUCCGGCCUUGGGUA